GUGGCAAUGAUGAGAAUGCAAUUCUAUGAUGUACUUUGAUUUUUCUAUGAUGCUCUGAGCCAU
rnacentral:snoRNA from 1 species